CGUGAGGGAAAGGUGAAAAGAACCCCGGGAGGGGAGUGAAAUAGUACCUGAAACCUUGUGCUUACAAGCAGUUACAGCCCGUUAAAGGGUGGUAGCGUACUUUUUGUAGAACGGUCCGGCGAGUUAUAGUCACUAGCGAGCUUAAGACAUUCAGUGUUGGAGGCGUAGGGAAACCGAGUCUGAACAGGGCGAAUGAAGUUAGUGGCCAUAGACCCGAAACCAUGUGACCUAGCCAUGAGCAGGAUGAAGUGGAGGUAAAGCUCCAUGGAGGUCCGAACGCACGUUCGUUGCAAUGACCGGCGAUGACUUGUGGCUAGCGGUGAAAUUCCAAUCGAACUUGGAGAUAGCUGGUUCUCCCCGAAAUAGCUUUAGGGCUAGCGUUGGGAAUGAGUUUAGCGGAGGUAAAGCACUGAAUGAGCUAGGGGGCGCAAGCUUACUGAACUCUAUCAAACUAAGAAUGCCGCAUAAAUGCUUCCCAGCAGUCAGACUGCGAGUAAUAAAAUCCGUGGUCAAAAGGGUAACAGCCCAGACCCACAGCUAAGGUCCCCAAUACAUGCUAAGUGGAAAACGAUGUGAGAUUGCAUAAACAACCAGGAUGUUGGCUUAGAGGCAGCCACUCGUUCAAAGAGUGCGUAAUAGCUCACUGGUCGAGUGAUCUUGCGCGGAAAAUUUAACGGGGCUAAGCAUGUAACCGAAGCUUGGGAUUGCGCAAUGCGCAGUGGUAGGGGAGCGUCGUGUACGGGGUGAAGUACGAUCGAGAGGACGUGUGGACUGUACACGAGUGAGAAUGCCGGAAUGAGUAGCGAGAAUUAUGUGGGAAUCAUAAUGGCCGAAAAUCUAAGGUUUCUUGGGGAAGGUUCGUCCGCCCAAGGUAAGCCGGGAGCUAAGGCGAGGCCGCAAGGCGUAGUCGAUGCACAUACGGUAAAGAUUCCGUAGCCGCCGAACUUUAAGUCAGAGGGACACUUGCAGAUAGCGGAACCCAGCCGUUGGUUGAGCUGGGCGAAAGGGACUGAAUUUAGUAGGGAAGUCCGCGAUGCUGAAAGGCGAGAAAAGCUCUGAUGAAUACUAAGGCGCCCGUACCGCAAACCGACACAGGUAGAUGAGGAGAGAAUCCUAAGGCCAACGGGAGAAGGGUUGUUAAGGAACUCGGCAAAUUGACCCCGUAACUUCGGGAGAAGGGGUGCUCCAGAGAUGGAGCCGCAGAGAAUCGGCCCAAGCAACUGUUUACCAAAAACACAGGUUUGUGCUAAAUCGAAAGAUGACGUAUACGAGCUGACGCCUGCCCGGUGCUGGAAGGUUAAGAGGAGAUGUGCAAGCAUUGAAUCGAAGCCCCAGUGAACGGCGGCCGUAACUAUAACGGUCCUAAGGUAGCGAAAUUCCUUGUCAGGUAAGUUCUGACCCGCACGAAAAGUGUAAUGAUCUGGGAACUGUCUCAACCAUAGACUCGGUGAAAUCUUAAUACCUGUGAAAAUGCAGGUUACCCGCGACAGGACGGAAAGACCCCAUGGAGCUUUACUGUAGCUUGAUAUUGGAUCUCGAUGUGUUAUGUAGAGGAUAGGUGGGAGACUAUGAUGUUAGGACGCUAGUUCUAACGGAGUCAACCUUGGAAUACCACCCUUAGCAUGUUGAGAUUCUAACCUCGACCCAUUAUCUGGGUCAGGGACAGUGUCUGGUGGGCAGUUUGACUGGGGCGGUCGCCUCCCAAAAAGUAACGGAGGCGCUCAAAGGUUCCCUCAGAAUGGUUGGAAAUCAUUCGAAGAGCGUAAUGGUAUAAGGGAGCUUUACUGCGAGACCUACAAGUCAAGCAGUUACGAAAGUAGGACAUAGUGGGCCGGCGAUUCAGAAUGGAAUGGUCGUCGCUUAACGGAUAAAAGUUACCCUGGGGAUAACAGGCUGAUACCACCCAAUAGUUCACAUAGACGGUGGUGAUUGGCACCUCGAUGUCGGCUCGUCACAUCCUGGAGCUGGAUUCGGUUCCAAGGGUUGGGCUGUUCGCCCAUUAAAGUGGCACGCGAGCUGGGUUCAGAACGU
rnacentral:rRNA from 1 species